GACGAACGCUGGCGGCGUGCUUAACACAUGCAAGUCGAACGGUGAUGCUCCAGCUUGCUGGAGUGGAUCAGUGGCGAACGGGUGAGUAACACGUGAGCAACCUGCCCCAGACUCUGGAAUAAGCGCUGGAAACGGCGUCUAAUACUGGAUACGAAACUGGCCCGCAUGGGCAUGGUUUGGAAAGUUUUUCGGUGUGGGAUGGGCUCGCGGCCUAUCAGCUUGUUGGUGAGGUAAUGGCUCACCAAGGCGACGACGGGUGGCCGGCCUGAGAGGGCGACCGGCCACACUGGGACUGAGACACGGCCCAGACUCCUACGGGAGGCAGCAGUGGGGAAUAUUGCACAAUGGGCGAAAGCCUGAUGCAGCGACGCCGCGUGAGGGAUGACGGCCUUCGGGUUGUAAACCUCUUUCAGCAGGGAAGAAGCGAAAGUGACGGUACCUGCAGAAGAAGCACCGGCUAACUACGUG
rnacentral:rRNA from 1 species